CAAGAAUCAGCCGAGCAGCCAGUAAUCGAUUACUUACGGACACCCUGAAGUGAAGCAAUAGAAUAUGGCGUAACAUGAGUGAUGUCUCUGCAGAUUCUGCUCGGAGGAAGUGGUGAGUGUGAGUGAUUCUCAGUCAUAAAUCAUUCCAGCAGGAUUGUGGGAGGCUGCCAAGCACGGAGAAAUGGUCAUGUUCUGCACAUAGACUAUCUCUCAUACACACAGCCUCUUGUUCCACACGUGCUCUGCUCCACAUUUUUAUAUUUCAGACAAAGAGAGUACCACGAAGGGUAGAUUUAUGAAAAUGCACGUGUCAGGACGAAGAGUGGAAGCCUGUAUUUACACUCCUAGAUUUUACAGUAUGGAAUGUAGCUGUUUAUGUAUGUAGGUGGUUAUGGCAAAUCAUUUCUUGUGCAUGCUUUAGAUAUUGGAUUUUAAAGUAUAUGUUCCCCAAGGUGCUCCAAAACAAUAAUUACUGUACAAAUAAUAAUUACUAGCAGGUAAAAAGUAGCACUUACGUAGAAAUAAAAGUUGCAACUUAACGGUAAGCAAAUACUGUAAAUGCUAAGAAAUAACAUAUUAUUCAUAUGCAGUAAUAAAUAUUUUAAUAAAUACAUGAGAAGACAAAGGUAAACAUGUCUGAUAAUGCUUUUAACAUUUUACCAUUACUCACCACUCUAUCCCAAAAAGGACAAAUUAUGCUUGAUGGAACACCGCUCACACACUCAUUCACACCAAGGACAAUUUAGAGUAUCAAAUCCACCUAGGCAUGUUUUUUGUGAGGUCGAAUGAAACCGCAGAACCCGGAGGAAACCCACACAGACACGAGAAGAACAUGUGAAACUCCUCACAGACAGUAACCUGAGCUCAGGAUUGAACUCAGAACCCUGGAGCUGUGAGGCCUCACUUAAAAGUUAAGGCUUAAUAAUAAUAUCACAUGUUAAUAUGGCUCUUGGUAUCAAAUAUGGCUCUAUACAUUACUAGGUACUACAGUACGUGCUUGUAAAAUAUAUACAAUAUAUCAUUUUAUUUUGCAGGAGGUCCUGCAAAAUUAUAAAUGAAUUUAAACAGCUGAAGGUGAAACGUACCAGUCCACAGGGAGUAAAAACCUCAACUGAACUUCAUCUAUAGCACACCAUGCAUUUUACAUUGGCACAGCUCUAACGUUAGAAAAUGACUGAAGCGCCUCUCAUGAAUAAAUAUCACAAGCAGCUCAGCGUCCGCUUCAG
ensembl:lncRNA